rnacentral:rRNA from 1 species
UACGUAGGGACCGAGCGUUGUCCGGAAUUAUUGGGCGUAAAGAGCUUGUAGGCGGUUUGUCGCGUCUGCUGUGAAAUUUCGGGGCUCAACCCCGAACUUGCAGUGGGUACGGGCAGACUAGAGUGUGGUAGGGGAGACUGGAAUUCCUGGUGUAGCGGUGAAAUGCGCAGAUAUCAGGAGGAACACCGAUGGCGAAGGCAGGUCUCUGGGCCACUACUGACGCUGAGAAGCGAAAGCAUGGGGGAGCGAACAGG